GGGCAUGUAGCUCAGUUGGUAGAGCGAUUGUCUUAUACACAAUUGGUCCCAGGUUCGAGUCCUGGCAUGCCCACCA
rnacentral:tRNA from 1 species